rnacentral:rRNA from 1 species
GACGAACGCUGGCGGCGUGCCUAAUACAUGCAAGUAGAACGCAGUUGCCAACGGGUGAGUAACUCGUACGUAACUGCCUCAUAGCGUGGGAUAACUAUUGGAAACAAUAGCUAAUACCGCAUACUGUUAUCUUGACCUGCGUUGUAUUAGCUAGUUGGUGAGGUAAAGGCUCACCAAGGCGACGAUACAUAGCCGACCUGGUAGGGUGAGCGGCCAAAAGGGGACUGAGGCACGGGCCAGACUCCUACGGGAGGCAGCAGUAGGGAAUCUUCGGAAAUGGGCGGAAGUCUGAACGAGCAACGCCGCGGGAGUGAAGAAGGUUUGCGGAUCGGAAAGCUAUGUUGUUAGAGAAGCGGUAACUAAACAGAAAGGGACGGCUAACUACGUGCCAGCAGCCGCGGUAAUAA